rnacentral:lncRNA from 1 species
UUUUAUUUUCCUUUUUCCCUUCAAAUUUGACUCAAAUUCAAAAUUGUCGCAAAGUACACAUCUGCGACAUUUACUGCGACCCUUAUACCCAAUUGUCGCAGGUUUUAUUUAUGCCAAUAUCUUCAUGCGCGUUCUCAAUUUCACUAAAAUUCUCUUUUGGUCAAAUAUUUUGGUACUCCCGCUUCUGCAAUUUCAUUCUCCCUCCCAUAGUUUCAAAACCCUAAAAUCCAAUUUUAUUCAUCAAUUUCACUUUCGCCCAAUCUCACACCUAAAUUUCCACCUCUCUCACCCACAAUCCACUUUCCCCCAAAUUGAAAUCCACAAUCUCACUCUCCCCCAUUCAAACGUGAAUCUCAAUCGAAGCUUUCUGUUCCUGACCCUCAAUCUCAUAUCAAAGCUUUCAGUUCCAACACAAGCCAUUUGCUCGGUUCAGUUCCAGUUAGUCUGCACCAUCUUCCUUCAUUAUGUGUUGCUACAACUUUUGCAAAGAAAGCAAUCAACAAAGGUUCAAAAGGGGACAGAAAAAUUAAGCUCAAGCACAACCUGAUUCAGAUACAUGACAAUUGAAAUAAUGCAGAUAUGUGAAUGCUGAUAUUAUUAUGCUGCAUACAUAGUUCAUAAAUAUUUCAAGGGGCUAUCAGGGGCUGUUGAUUUUGUACCUUAAAAUGAAGAAAAGAAGAAUUUGGUGCCCUUUAAAGCUGUUGUGAAAGGUGUUUUGCUUCAUCGGCUUGUUCAGGCAAUUGCUGCACUCAUCUUGGUAACUCAUUAUACAUGCGUUAAUCUCUAUUCUCCAGUAAUAAUAGUUGUUCACACUUCACAUUUGUAGUUAAUAGAGUUUAUAGUUGAAAAUCUUAUUCUGUUUUGUAGUUAAGUUAAAAGCACUUUUAGUUAUGUGUUGCUUGAUAACUUUUAUGCACACUAUGUUUUGGGUGUAAUCUGUUAAAGCUAAACGGAUUUAUUAACAUACUGUUAAGAAUUCAGUAUAGUCAUUUCUUACACUAUGUAAUAGUUUGAUUCAUCUGCAUUCAGUCCCAACAAUAAACUUUUACCAAAAUUCAGUA